GGACCUAGAUUGUCUGGGUUUGAAUACAGGCUAACAUGAACUAGUUGUGUGACCAUGGAUAAGCUACUUGACUGUUUGUGCCUCAGUUUCU